rnacentral:rRNA from 1 species
GACGAACGCUGGCGGCGUGCCUAAUACAUGCAAGUAGAACGCUGAAGAGAGGAGCUUGCUCUUCUUGGAUGAGUUGCGAACGGGUGAGUAACGCGUAGGUAACCUGCCUUGUAGCGGGGGAUAACUAUUGGAAACGAUAGCUAAUACCGCAUAACAAUGGAUGACACAUGUCAUUUAUUUGAAAGGGGCAAUUGCUCCACUACAAGAUGGACCUGCGUUGUAUUAGCUAGUAGGUGAGGUAACGGCUCACCUAGGCGACGAUACAUAGCCGACCUGAGAGGGUGAUCGGCCACACUGGGACUGAGACACGGCCCAGACUCCUACGGGAGGCAGCAGUAGGGAAUCUUCGGCAAUGGGGGCAACCCUGACCGAGCAACGCCGCGUGAGUGAAGAAGGUUUUCGGAUCGUAAAGCUCUGUUGUAGGUCAAGAACGAGUGUGAGAGUGGAAAGUUCACACUGUGACGGUAGCUUACCAGAAAGGGACGGCUAACUACGUGCCAGCAGCCGCGGUAAUACGUAGGUCCCGAGCGUUGUCCGGAUUUAUUGGGCGUAAAGCGAGCGCAGGCGGUUUGAUAAGUCUGAAGUUAAAGGCUGUGGCUCAACCAUAGUUCGCUUUGGAAACUGUCAAACUUGAGUGCAGAAGGGGAGAGUGGAAUUCCAUGUGUAGCGGUGAAAUGCGUAGAUAUAUGGAGGAACACCGGUGGCGAAAGCGGCUCUCUGGUCUGUAACUGACGCUGAGGCUCGAAAGCGUGGGGAGCGAACAGGAUUAGAUACCCUGGUAGUCCACGCCGUAAACGAUGAGUGCUAGGUGUUGGAUCCUUUCCGGGAUUCAGUGCCGCAGCUAACGCAUUAAGCACUCCGCCUGGGGAGUACGACCGCAAGGUUGAAACUCAAAGGAAUUGACGGGGGCCCGCACAAGCGGUGGAGCAUGUGGUUUAAUUCGAAGCAACGCGAAGAACCUUACCAGGUCUUGACAUCCCGAUGCUAUUUCUAGAGAUAGAAAGUUACUUCGGUACAUCGGUGACAGGUGGUGCAUGGUUGUCGUCAGCUCGUGUCGUGAGAUGUUGGGUUAAGUCCCGCAACGAGCGCAACCCCUAUUGUUAGUUGCCAUCAUUCAGUUGGGCACUCUAGCGAGACUGCCGGUAAUAAACCGGAGGAAGGUGGGGAUGACGUCAAAUCAUCAUGCCCCUUAUGACCUGGGCUACACACGUGCUACAAUGGUUGGUACAACGAGUUGCGAGUCGGUGACGGCAAGCUAAUCUCUUAAAGCCAAUCUCAGUUCGGAUUGUAGGCUGCAACUCGCCUACAUGAAGUCGGAAUCGCUAGUAAUCGCGGAUCAGCACGCCGCGGUGAAUACGUUCCCGGGCCUUGUACACACCGCCCGUCACACCACGAGAGUUUGUAACACCCGAAGUCGGUGAGGUAACCUUUUGGAGCCAGCCGCCUAAGGUGGGAUAGAUGAUUGGGGUG